GCCUCCGCGUCCGGAGCCUGUGCUCCACAACGAGAGAGGCCACAACAGUGAGAGGCCCGCAUACAGCAAAAAAAAGAAAAAAAAAAUUCCAGCUUUACUGAGUGCACAAGGGUUCCCAAGGAACAACUUUAAAGGCCUUCAUUUUACCAUUUUACAGUGAGCAGCAAUAUUUGAGAUGGUGGCUGCUUAAUCAACUUGGAUUCUACAGUAAAGAGGUGAUGACUUCCUCCACACUCAUGUGAAUGGGGCAAGAGCUUUGAAGGAGCAAUUCCUGCAUAGAAACAGACAAGAGAAAAAGAUCGUGAUGCUGAAGCUUCCAUCAGGGGAAGGGAAGAGAGAGAUUCAAAGAGCUCUUUUGCAAUAUCCUGCUAUGUGAGGACACAGCCAAAAUGCACCGUCUAUGAAGCAGAAAGUUGGAUCUCACCAGACACUGAAUCUGCCCGUGCCUUGAUCCUGGAAUUCUGGCCUCCAGAACUGUGAGAAAUUAAUUUCUGUUGUUUAUAAGCUACCCAAUCUAUGGUAUUUUGUUAGAGCAGCACAGACUAAGAGAGAGAUCCUGGCAAAAAGCAGCAACAGUCACUAUAGAAGGCACAUAAUGUGUUGCUUUCAAUUGACACAAAAAACAGUGUUACUUUCAGCCCUAUUUUUUUGGUCACUGUAUGGGUUUUGUACUUUUUCCCUAACUUUCCACACCCAUGGCCAUUUGGACUUUCUGC